CUAAGACCAAAGAAACAUGGAUCGGGCUGGGUUACCAACCAAUCUGACCCAACUUUUAAAAUGUGGAUGAUGCUUGCCGUCUUAGAUAAUUCUUCCUUGCUUUUUCAACUUCAAAUACAAGCUAUCUCCCAUCUCAUUGCUCCUUUUCAAAACCCUAAUUCCUCUUUCCCUUCCAAUUUCGUUUCACAAGAUCGCCUUCGCUGCUCUUCCGUUCAGGAAUUAUGUCUUUUAUGCGGAAUCAAGCAGAGGAUCGUAGUUUACAUAGUGGUUACUGGUCCACCUAUGAUGAAAACAACUUUGGCCGCAACAAUAGGAAAAGAAGUAGAAACAAUUAUCACACCAGGAGUUUUAAUGUUUACAAUGAUAACCAGACAAAAUUCGGAGACCAUGGUUGUGCCUUCAAUUUUUCCUUGGCCGAUCAUGCCAAUUAUCUUAGAUAUGAUGCUGUUCCGUCAUCUCUGAAAAGGAGGAAAUAUUCAGCCCCUGUGUGGCAAGAAAGCCACAGAUACUAUGUUCCACCCAUGGUUCAUGACAUUAUCCCUUCGUCCUGUAAUUUUCAAGCUCCUCCUACAAGAUCCGAUGGUGAUGCCUCUACAUCUUCUGUUUUCAAGAACUGCUGCUCUAUUUUUGAAGAUGAUAAGCCUGUCUUCAUGUCAAGGGAUGAGAUUGAUAGAUACUCUCCAUCUAGGAAAGACGGUAUUGAUGUACAUCAUGAGACACACUUGCGGUACUCCUAUUGUGCUUUCCUUCAGAAUCUUGGAAUGCGUCUUGAGCUGCCUCAAACCAUAAUUGGGACAUCUAUGGUUCUGUGCCACCGUUUUUUUGUUCGUCGAUCUCAUGCAUGCCAUGACAGAUUUUUGAUUGCUACUGCUGCUCUUUUUCUUGCUGCAAAGUCAGAGGAAGCUCCACGCCCUUUGAAUAAUGUAUUGAGAGCGUCCAGUGAAAUUCUAAAUAAACAAAAUUUUGCUUUGUUCUCCUACCGGUUACCUGUUGAUUGGUUUGAACAGUAUCGGGAAAGGGUGUUCGAGGCUGAACAGUUGAUACUUACUACUCUGAAUUUUGAACUCAAUGUGCAACAUCCGUAUGCAUCUCUCACAUCUGUUCUUAACAAAUUAGGUUUAUCAAAGACUGUUAUGGUGAAUCUGGCAUUAAACUUGGUCAGCGAAGGGUGAGUUUUCAUACAUUUUAGGCUUAUAUUUGAUGGUUUCAGUGAUGAUGUUUGCUUAUACCAUUCAUUUUUUGAGGACAAAACGUGGUUGGCUAAAAUCAAAUCUGUAUGAAAUGUUCUGAGCUGUUGGCUGAUGUCCUCUUCAGGAUAUUCACAAGAUUAGCGUGCUGGCCUGUAUGAUAUUCUUAGCUGGCGGAUUGAUAUGCUGUUCAUCAAAAGUUUUGUUUUACAUCUGAAGUUGAACUGCUGAUGUCUAAUGGAUUGCUUUACCUUGAAUAUGUCUCAUCAACUUUUAUUUUGGCUACCCAAGCUAGCCUCAAGAGCCCUAUCCCACAACUCAGUUUUUCUGUCUAACCCUCAAUACGUUGUAGCUUAUGCUGAUUCCCAUCAGCCAAAGGGGCUCUCCAUAUUUUUUAGUAAAAUGGGUGGAAAGAAAAUAGUUAAGUGACAUACAAACAAUAUGAAACUAACAAAAAGAAGACAGAUAGAGAGAGGCAAGCAGAGUCUUGUCUUAAACGGUCUUAUCAUCUAAAGUUUUGUUUUACAUCUGAAGUUGAACUGGUGAUAUCUAAUGGAUUGCUUUACCUAGAAUAUGUCUCAUCAACUUUUAUUUUGGCUACCCAAGCUAGCCACUAGAGUCCUACCCAACAACUCAGUUUUUCUCUGUAACCCUCAAUACCUUGUAACUUAUGCUGAUUCCCAGUAGCCAAAGGGGCUCUCCAUAAUUUUUAGUGACAUGGGUUGAAAGAAGAUAAUUUAAGUGACAUACAAUAUGAAACUAACAAAGAGAAGACAGACAGAGAGAGGCAAACAGUCUUAUAUCAUCAAAAGUUUAGUUUUACAUCUGAAGUUGAACUACUGACGUCUGAUGGAUUGCUUUACCUUGAAUAUGCCUCAUCAACUUUUAUUUUGGCUACCCCACAACUCAUUUUUUCUGUGUAUCCUCAAUACCUUGUAGCUUGGGUUGAUUUCCAUUAGCCAAAGGCCUCUCCAUAAUUUUUAGUAACAUGGGUUGAAAGAAGAUAAUUAAGUGAAAUACAAUAUGAAACUAACAAAAAGAAGAGAGAUAUUAAAGAAGAGAGACAGAGAGAGGCAAACAGUCUUGUCUUAAAAAGUGUAAAGAAUAUUUGUUCCGAACAAGUUUUGGUUCAUGGUUACCCAUUGAUCAUAAUGAGGCUUUUCAACUAGAGUCAACUAUUACGUGGAGGAAAAUAGGGGUUUUCUACGCUGCUGUUUUAUUUUUACUAAAGAGGGUUAGAGUGUUUUUGUCUACUCAUUUUUUCUUGAUUGAAAAAAAAAAAACUAUUCCUUGGUCUAUAUAUUGAUUUGGGAGAAAACUGUUUCUAGGAUAAAUCUGCUGAUAAAAUUCUCUCUUUAGAAGUUUUUCCUUGUGGUCAGUUUAAUUGCCAAAUUUUGUAUUUGUUAAAGUUUCUUAACCUCCCUCUCGUCUCCCACAUUGAGUAUUUUGGUCACUCCAAUGGAUUAGUUCAGUCACAUGAUUUUUCUUUUCCAGAUGUUUUAAAUUUGAAUUUGUUCCAUUUCCUACUUAAAAGAUGUAUACACUCUAUCCAAUAAUUUGUUGAUGUAUCUGAAAGGUCGUACAUUCUAAAUGAUUGGAUGAUAUUGUUCAAAUUUUUAUAUUGAGAACAUAUAAAAUAUAUGUAAACCUUUGGUCUAAUUUAAAAAGCUAAUAUGUUUUGUCAAAAGUUCAAAUAUCCUUGUUCAUCUCUUACAGAUCACUCUUUUAAAUUUUUUUGUUUCCUUGUUCGUUGACAUUAAGUCUGUAAUGGGAAGGAAGUUUUUAAGAUUUAUCUUACUUUCAUUUGAAAUAGUUUUUUUUUUUUUUUUUUUUUUUUUUCAUUUUUCAAACUCAAUUUUUAGCUGACCCCUACCUAGUGGAAUCUGGCUUUAUUGUUAUGUUAAAAUUGUGAAAAUUCACUGUAGUGAUAUUUUUAGUUUUAACAGUAAUAGGGAUGAAUUGAUAUUUGGGCAAUGUUACUCAUGGUUUUUUUUUUGUGUUCUUCCUGUGUGCUAAACACUUGCCCUUUGUCUAGUGAAGGAGAAACGGUGGAGAGGAGAGAAAUAGGUGAGAAAUAAAAAAGAGAAAGUGUUUUAGUAAACUUGAAUUGAGAGAAGAGAGAGAAGUAAGGGGUGGCAUUUACUAUUAUUUUUAUUGGAUUUCUCACCUAUUUAUCUCUUUCCUAUUUUUCUAUACUAGACACCUUCAUUUACCUCUACUUACUCAUUUCUGUUCACCUUUGGUUGCUGGUGACUUUCUGUGAUUACUUGAUGCUAGUUUGUCUCUCUCCUAGUUACUGAAGGUGGCUCGCACUUUGCUUUUAUUCUUCAUAUUAUUUGGCAUGUAGUGAUCAGCCUCAGUUUUAAAAUGUUAAUGAUUGGAGAGGGUGCUCUUUAUCAUACUUUAAAUAGCUCAUCAUCUUCAUGAAAUAUGAAUACUAAUGGUACCAGGUGUUAUCUAUUGGUGUGGUCAGCCUGCUAUAUUUUCAAUUGAUUUUGUAACGAGCUUUUGCUUCCAGUUGAGUUAAACAGCUCAACUGUUUUCGUGACUUGAAAACGUUUCUUGGAUGGGUGGGGGUUGUAGACAGUGGCUCUCACUGUAUGCUUCUUUUGUCUGAAGGAAGUUUUGUACUAGUUCUAUGGUUUGGUCCUAGCAGCCCCUCUUACCCUUUCUCCAAUUUGAUUUACAAUUAAUACCUGCAUUGAUAGAAAGCUAUGCACAACUAGUGUGAAAAUUAUAAUAUACUCCAUCUCCUCUGCUCAACCAUGAAGGACAAGGAAGAUUUGAGAAAAAGUUUUUCUUUUUCUCGUACUCCUUUUAUCCCUGUUGUACUACAAAGGGGAUAGCUGGUCUCAGGUGGUUGUGAUGUGUAGUGGUUCUAUGCAGCCUAAACCCAUUCCCUACCGUCUCAGGUCUCACAAUAAUAACCUUCCACUUUUUGCAGCAAAUUGAAGUGCUGGAACAUGAGACAUUUUUGUACAUAAUGAUCAAACUUUGUACUUCUUUGUGCCUUAAAUGUAUGCCAACUUUGAUGUGAAAAUAGAGUAACUUUUGUACUAAAAUGACAAUUAGCUGUCUGCUUCGAUUCUCUCUUCGCAGAAUGUUUUUGUUUUAUGUUUUGUAGUGAUUUUUAAACUUCUAAUUUUACACCUGCAACAUGGACAACAAUUGGAUUUUGUUCUAUAGCUUGUUAAAUAAGUUUGCAUUCAUUGUAAACAUUCCAAUGAGCAUGGUAGCAACAAGGCUCUCCAGGUCAAAAUAUUGAGGAGAUAUGGCAUUAGCUUUGAAAGAUUCAGUUGUUUGUAAUAUGCAGCACAGCACACCAUGCAUACUUUCUCAUUUUAGUUGCAUAAUAUUUCUGGAGCUUAGAGCCCCACGGCAGAGUUGGGCCUGGAAGUCUGAUAAAUUCUCUAGAUGAGUAUAAGAUAUUGGUAUAGUUUGGUUAUACUCUUAUCAGCAAUCCUGCACAGAUUCUUGGAAUUGUAUGCUUCCUGAGUUGCUGCUUUUCUAGUUGGUAAGGAAAAGUUAAUAAAUUUUUGUUUUCCUCUUGGUAUGAAUGUUGAAUAUUAUUUGAAUUAUCUAGUUCAUAUUACUGCUCAUUCUAAUAGCUGACAUGAUCUGUCAUGGUGGGAACAUAUGCUAAGUUGGUGCCUCGGAUGGUUAGUUUGACUAUUUAUGUAUUAUCUCUAUUUGCGUUGAACAAUACUCUGGCUGUACUGGUGCCUAUCUUGUAUGGUCUAUUGAAGAUGGGAAUUUGUUUUGCAGGCUUCGGAGUUCUCUGUGGCUUCAAUUUAAACCCCAUCAUAUUGCUGCUGGAGCUGCAUAUCUUGCUGCCAAGUUUUUGAACAUUGAUCUCACUGCUUAUCAGAACAUCUGGCAAGAGUUUCAGACAACACCAACCAUUCUUCAAGAUAUCUCCCAGCAACUAAUGGAGCUCUUCUGAAAGUAUUGCAGAACUAGAUUAUGGCAUCCUUCCUAUUAGAGUAAAUUUUGAAUAUAUAAUUCAAAAUGUCGUAUACUCCGAAGGGCGAGGUACAGAUCAUUAUGUGUAGGAGCUUCGACAUAUAUUUUGGUGAGAUAGAAGAAUGGUGGGUGUGACCUAAGGAUUUUUAAGUUUGGCCGACUUCUCUGAAUCCUCUGCUAAAGUCUUGAGCAUGAUUUGCGUUCAAUUCUGUUGAUGCCUUGUGAAUGUCAAGUCGAGUUUAGUCAAUGAAGAAUCUAUCGAUGAAAGUACACAGAUUUCUAACUUUGUAUGUGCAACAAAUGCAAAUUAGUUCGGAGGUUAAAUUUAUCGUUGGUUGCCCCUUACCCUGGUUUUAUGUUAUGAAAGAAAGUCAUUUGAUAUCUGCAGUUACGGUUAAUGUUGGUGGUUACAGAGAUUGGGUUAAGUUUUCUGA